AUUGAACGCUGGCGGCAGGCUUAACACAUGCAAGUCGAGCGAGCGGCGGACGGGUGCGUAAUGUCUGGGAAACUGCCUGAUGGACGGGGAUAACUACUGGAAACGGUAGCUAAUACCGCAUACCAUCAGAUGUGCCCAGAUUGGAUUAGCUAGUGGGUGGGGUAAUGGCUCACCUAGGCGACGAUCCCUAGCUGGGCUGAGAGGAUGACCAGCCGCACUGGAACUGAGACACGGUCCAGCCUCCUACGGGAGGCAGCAGUGGGGAGUAGUGCACAAUGGGCGCAAGCCUGAUGGAGCCAUGCCGCGGGUGUGAAGAAGGCCUUCGGGUUGUAAAGCACUUUCAGCGAGGAGGCGUUACUCGCAGAAGAAGCACCGGCUAACUCCGUUCCAGCAGCCGCGGUAAUAC
rnacentral:rRNA from 1 species